rnacentral:rRNA from 1 species
GAUGAACGCUGGCGGCGUGCCUAAUACAUGCAAGUCGAGCGAACGGACGAGAAGCUUGCUUCUCUGAUGUUAGCGGCGGACGGGUGAGUAACACGUGGAUAACCUACCUAUAAGACUGGGAUAACUUCGGGAAACCGGAGCUAAUACCGGAUAAUAUUUUGAACCGCAUGGUUCAAAAGUGAAAGACGGUCUUGCUGUCACUUAUAGAUGGAUCCGCGCUGCAUUAUCUAGUUGGUAAGGUAACGGCUUACCAAGGCAACGAUGCAUAGCCGACCUGAGAGGGUGAUCGGCCACACUGGAACUGAGACACGGUCCAGACUCCUACGGGAGGCAGCAGUAGGGAAUCUUCCGCAAAGGGCGAAAGCCUGACGGAGCAACGCCGCGUGAGUGAUGAAGGUCUUCGGAUCGUAAAACUCUGUUAUUAGGGAAGAACAUAUGUGUAAGUAACUGUGCACAUCUUGACGGUACCUAAUCAGAAAGCCACGGCUAACUACGUG